UCCUAGGCCACAAGACCGCAAUCGCUAUUGCUAUCCUGGUGGUGCAGACAUGUGUGCCAGCAAACACAAAUAAAUUUCAAGUACUAGUUGUUGUCGAGCUUAUCGCCGUCGUGGGUGUAAUUACGUUGAACAAGAAGCCCUGUGAUACAUGAAAGUGCAAUCUCAGUUUACGCCAUGAUUGAUUAAUACUCCUACAUGUCUUCUGUUGUUAAGAUGUUUUUUUCCUUUGGGGAAUACCGGUUCCUGAUAAAUUCUUCUGAAUUCUAAUUCUAUCCUGUUUGUUGGUCCCGCAACCAAUGUUUUCGUAGCCUGCUGCAAAUACAUGAUGUGCUGUAGUGCCUGUCGCUGCUUGUUGUGCAGCUUGUCACCGAAUAGCUAUUACUGUAAAAGGAUUUUCCAAAUAGAGAUUCCCUGCCUCGCCCGUUUAGUGAUCUGAUUCGUGAGGGUUUGUAGUUUGAAUUCGCUGCACUGAGCUAGACUGAGGGCAAAUUAUAGUUAGUUUGAACUGCACUGCUGCUAAUAGUUUUGUUCAUAUUGCUGCCCUGGCAUCGAAACUUAUUUGCAGUGCUGGAUUACCUGCUAGGCCCCGCUUGGAUUGGGUGAAUGCCGGGCAGCACACAAAAUUUGCAUCCAGUCCAAUAUUAGUUUGCUGACUUGGUAUAACCUUCAGAGGAGUGUGAAACUUUUAGAUUGAUUUGCGGGCUGUGAAAAUAACUAUAUGGAGAUCUCUGUUUAAUCAUUCACGAUAGGAGGAUCCCUUCUGUUGAGAGCAGCUGGUGGCGAAGCAGCGAUGACCAGGACGUACAGAUCACCUGCACCUGCUGCAUGACGUUGGACGGUAAGUUGGAGUGUACUGGCCGCAUUUUCUUCAGCUGUCCAAUAGUAGUUCAUACGGGAGGUUUUGGGCAACAACGCACACUGUUUUUGUUCCCUCCUUUUUGGGGCGCAAAACAGGAGUUUAGAGUGACAACCCGAGAACAUAUGACUCGGAUAGCAACAUAUCAGCGAGAUACACUUUGUACUAACUUUAAUACAAAGUUAGUACAAAGUAGGGUCAUCUAUUUUAGAACGAAGGGAGUACAGGUUAAGAUAAGGAGAUGUGUUGCAUGGCAGGAUGGCAGGGUAGAAGAAUCAUCGCAAGCACUAGGGCUAACUGCUACAGCUACAGCCUACAGAUUAUGAUACCAAGGCUAGCUGCUACUGGCUGGCCUCGGCACGCACGCGUACCCACCCACCAUCGCGUCCCUAGUGGCUAUCUUAGUCGGUACUCCCAUCUGUCCCAUAAUAAAAGAGCGUUUUUUAUACUACGUACUUACCGACGAGUAAUGGCAGCUUCCAAUGAUGUCAAGACUAUACUAUUCUACUGACGGUAGGAUAUGCAACUGAGGUUAAUUCGGGAUAUAGACAAGAAGAAGUCUUACCUCUGUGAAACCAUCACUGUUGCUAUGCACCCCCUCUGGUUCAGCUUCAAGCCUGCACUGCAAAACAAAACUUGUUCAAGACCUAUGAUUCAGUACCAAUAUGCUCAUGAUGAAUAAUUGCUAGGCGGCAUCAGCUCUAACUUUUCACGCAGCCCAGGUGCUCAUACAUGCAUUCAACUAUCGGUUAUAGCUCAUCCGAUAGUACAAACGAACUCUGAAGCUCUUCAACUAUGGGACAGAAAAUUCAGUCCAUUACGCAAAUUGGUGAUAGUGAGUGAAUCGGGAUUCAAUCGUUGCUGAGAAGCCGAGCAAGUGACUACUCCCAGCUCCAAGAUGCCAAUAUGCCCGUGAUGAAUAAUUGCUAGGCAGCAUUAUCUCUACCUUGUCACGCAAUACAGCUCAUCAUAUCCCACGAGCGAGCUCUCAAGUUCUUCAUUUACAGGACAGAAAGUCAGUACAUUAUGCAAGUCAGUGGUAGUGGGUGAAUCAGGAUUCUGGAUUCAGGCAUUGCUGAGAAACUGAGCAAACGAAUCUCACAUGUCAUCGCCAGAAAUUUGGAAAACAAAGACUACACAGUAGUAUACAACUAGUAAGCUUCGUGUUGCCUGCAUGAGAUGCCUACUGCCACUAGAUUAUAACGGGGCAUCAAACAGAACAUCCCUGCCAUAAUAGAGUCAAAGCAAGUAAAUGGGCCUCAAAUAGGCAGGAACUCAGGACUUGUUAGUUCGGUUGCUCAUAUAGCUUCAGGCUUAUAAGCUAUCAACCAGUAUAGCACCUUACAGGAUGAGCUUAGUAGCCCAUAGAAACAGAAUAACCAAGUUUAUAGAUCUUUAACUGACUAGUACACUCACUUGUUUCAGGGAUUAACGGAGUUUAACAGUUCACAAAGUAAAACAUUCUCUUCAAUAGGGACAGAUCUUCCAAGAAGCAGCCCUUGGAACAAUUUGAAGCAUUGAACACCUAGAAGAUUUCAAAGUUGAUGAGAAUAAACUUGGUUAUGUACUGCUAUUUGACUUUCUGUGUCAGGACCCCGGACUGUGACCUGUGCAUUAUUCGAGACAUCACUUUUUGGCUGGGGUAUCACGCAAACUCACAUGAAUGACACAUGGGCCCCGAAUUAGGUAGAUGGCAGCUACAUGGCGAAUACCGGGGUUAAAUUCAGCCAAAGGUGCCAAAACCAAGCAAGGGUUGAAAAUCGAACUGUUUUAAGAGUACAGGGUACCAAACCAGACCAUUGUAGAGUUCAAGCUUUGAACUGUAUCUGGGGGAGAGUUUAAGGCUAAGACUUUCUUGAAAAGAAAUAUGCUACUGAUCAUUGCCUGAACUCUCAAUUGAAAUGCCAACAUAAAUAAGUGGAUGCAAGCGGUCACGUAUGAAACAGCAAAGGUAUAUGGAAUGUGUAUUCUGUAUUCAUGUUACAGAGACAGAGAUCCAUUGCAAUUUCAGCUAUGGGCCAUAAACUUCCACUACAAAUAUGUUUCUGUAAAUAUCUGAAGACACAACUGAGAUGAAGCAUCAUGUGGUAACCCCGUGCAAGCAAUCCAGCAUUACAAAAGUCACGGGGAAAAAUGGCCUACUGUCGUGAGGUUGCAUCACAAUCUAAAGAAGGCUGUUACUUCUAGCUUUGACAGGUGAAACAUUACCAAUAGGCGUCGCUUCAGUUGUUCAACUCCUGGAGUCCCCAAAAGCUGCUUUGUUCUAGAUCUCAAUUACGAAUCCAUACCUAAUGAGGCCGUCUGUCUGAUGAGCUCAUUGUCAGCCUUCUUCAGAAAAACAUCCCAGCCGCUCCCUUCUCCCCAAUCCAGCAUAUCAUACGGCACUGCUGUCAUUAAUCCUGGCCUCACCGCACCUUGCUCCAUUACCACUCUAAACUCCAGGUCGUCCUCUCCUCGCUGCUCCUCCUCGAGCUCCUCCCAUGUAAACAUAAGGGGCAAGGUGUAGCCGCCCCAAGGAUUGAAAUCAAUCAGCUUCACCCGGCCAUCUGCUCUGACAUACACAUCAAAUGUAUAAUUCUCUGAAGCAAACUGCGGCUCAACAACUUGUUCAAAGAAAUCCUUGAUCUUCGGCUGCAACUCAGCACUCCACCCAGGCAACGAAGGGUAGUAAGCAGACGUGUCCCUCUGCGACACGCCGACCAGCUUUCGUCCCCGCACGAAGCAUCAGAACUCUGACUCGGGGCGGAGGCCCGGGUACCACUUGCGGAGGGCGAGGUAGUACUGGAACCCGUCGUCCACCCAAGUAUCAUCACCAUUGUCUUGUCCAACAUCGUCUUCCGGCGCAUCAUCGCUGCCGGCAACAGCUUGCCUGCCUCCUUCGUUGCAACCAUCAGUGGGAGGAUCACUCAGAGAAUCAGCACCACUGGUGCCCUCUCUGCCAUUUGAUUUAGCACCCGAGUUGUUGGCAUCACUGCCCUGUCCGGCAUUCCGUCGAACACCUUUGUUGGCGCGUACGAAGUCCUGGCAGGACGGGCGCGCGGAGGCGAGGUCGUGCGCGACGCAGUCGGAGGAGCGGAGCAGCAUGGCGACCUCGGCGAAGCAGGUGCAGCGGACGGUGCCAUCGGCGGACAUGAAGGCGGCGUCCUUGGGCGCGCUCCAGUUGAGCUUGGGGAGCGCGGCCCCGCCGAGCUCGGCGAUGGCCGCGUCGACCGCGGCCUCCAGCUCAGGGAAGGCGGGGAGGGGCGGGCUCUCGUCAUCUUCGUCGUCGGAGCAGACGGAGAAGAGGUCGGACCUGUCGUCGUGGUCGACGGGGUCCGGGAGGUGGAGCGGCGGGAAGGGGGUGCGGCCGGAGGUGAGCGCCGGGAGGAGGAAUGGGGGAAGCCCUUCGGCGUCUUGGUGAGGGGCGUCGGGGUGGGGGGCUGGCCGGCGAGGUAGCGGAGGAAGGCGGCGGGGAGGGGGAUGAUGACGGUGGGGAUGGUGUGGCGGCGGAACGCCGGGUACCACUCGUGGAUCUGGCAGCGGAGCAGCUCCUCUAGCAGCAUCUCGCCGACUACUUGGCCGGCUUCGCCUCCGUGCCUAUGGUGGGGGGAGACGCGGCGGCGAGGAAGCGAGCGCCGCCGGUUGGCGCGAGAGAGACCGGUGAAGGUAAAGCUUUUUUUUUCUGAGGGGAGGUGAAGCUUUGCGUUUUUUUGGAUGAAAAUAACUUUAUUCAUCAAAUACCACAGUUUGUGGGAUAAAAGAAGGAUCGUGGGGUGAGUAAGACACAAAUGACGUCCUGAACUAAGAAAACUUUGCUAAGCUAUGAGACCGACGACCUUCAUACAUGAUCUUAUCGUUAAAACUCUCAUCUCUGGCCCUAACUUCAGUGAUGGCCGAGCCAUACAUACCUCUGGCAUUUCGGUUUAUGUCAUCAACUACCUGCUUAGCAUCCGAAGCAAUGAUAAAAUUAUGGAGAGCUAGAUCUUCUGCCAGAGCAUAUGCUUCUCGACAAACAAUUGACUCGAGAAUAGCUACAUCAUAAACUCCAGAAAUAAGCAGAGAAGAGCUUCCCAAAUAUGUGCCAUUCUCAUCCCGGCAAACAGCCGCAGCCGAGCCUCUUGUGCGGUACUUUGAUACUCCUGCAUCCACAUGGAUUUUCGCAAAACCCGUCGGCGGGGCCCUAGGAUGUACACUUCCGCUCAAAAGUUGAUGAUUUGAGACACCGGCUUGCCUUGCUGGUUGUGAAUUCUUGAUGAUCUCCAAAUCCAUCAAGUACCUGUUGAUGAACGCAUGGGUAGCCUGAGGGCUCUGAAAGUCACCUUCAUGUAUAGCCUUCCUUCGAGUUGUCCUGACUGCCCACAGGGUAACCGCUAGCUUGAGGAAAGCGUCAUGUGAUAAUGCUUGGAUCAUCGAGAAUAGCCAUGAUUUUGCUGUUCGUUUUGUUGAUGCCCUCAACUGUUUUGCAAGUUCGCGGUCCACUAGAGUCCAAAUGCAACGAGACAUGGUACGCUCCAAGAGCGAGUGCCUCCAUGAGUCAGGAGCACCACACAGUCCGCAUGAGCUUGUCGUGGACAUGUUCCGAUGAUCUCUGACAUCCUCAAUUGGCAGCAAGUGCCUAGCGAGUCUCCAGAGAAACAUUCUUAUUCUCCCUGGUACUUGGACGCUCCAUAGAGAUUUCCAUGAGCUCCUCUCCCGUGCUAUACUGGACGUUCCGGUUCUACCUUCGAGCCAAUCCUCACGACAUUGUUUAGUAUAAACCAUCACCUUGUAAGCUGACCGGAUCAGAAAGAGACCAUUUUUCUCAUAGUUCCAUGACCAAAAAUCUGAGAUAACUCUAGUACAGAGUGGUAUGCUUGUGAUGGUUGAAAUAUCAAUGGCAAGCAUUACAUGCUGAAUGUGAUGCAUGUCCCAACUGGCAGUGGUGGAGUCAAUUAAUUCUAAAACGUUUUGAGGAGGGUCAUUCACCAAAGAACCAUACGGUCUCAUCAUCUCGUCCCUAUGAAACCAGUUGUCAUUCCAUAUGUUGGUAGUUGAGCCGUCACCAAUUUGAAGUAUCAAGCCUUGCCUAAGUAUGUCCCUUCCUUGGACGAUCGCCCUCCAUAUUUGGCUUGGAUGACUGCCAAGUGCUGCCUCAAGCAUUGAUGUAGCGGGGAAGUAGACACCCUUAAGGACACGAGCACAGAGAGAUUCUGGGACUGAAGUAUCCGCCACACCUGCCUAGCCAGCAAGGCUAAGUUAAAGAGCUCAAAUUCCUUAAAACCCAAGCCUCCCAUAUCCUUUGGUUGUGUCAUAUCCUUCCAUGCCACCCAUGCAAGUUUCCUCCUGCCAUCUCUACUACCCCACCAGAACUUUCGGAUCAGCAUAUUUAGGUGUUCGCACAAACCUCUAGGGAGUUUGAAACAUAACAUGGAGUAGACCGGAACCGCCCGAGCAACCGCUUUGACAAGAGUACCUAUUUCCCUGCCAUUGCCAUGGUUUUUUCUACCCAACCUUGCACCUUGCUCCAUAAACAGUCUUUGAGAUAUUUGAAAGCAUCGUUUUUCAAGAGCCCACAUCCGAUGGCAUCCCAAGAUAUUUUUCGCUCAAGGUUUCAUUUGGGACAUUAAGCAACCCUUUGAUUUCUGCCCUUACAUUGUCAGGAACUCUCUUACAAAAUAUUGAAGAUUUGUCAUAUUUGAUUCUUUGCCCUGUGGCCUGACAAUAAAUGUCCAACAUCUGGUGCACCCCUGAUGCUCCCACUUCAUUUGCCCUGAAAAACACCAGGCUAUCAUCUGCAAAGAAUAAGUGGCUAACUGGCAGCGCCAAAAGAGACACUUGUAGCUUGGUUGAACCACGCAAAGAAGCCCAGUAAAGAGUUCCUCAGGCCCAAUGUGUGAGCGCAUCAGUGGGCCUUGAAGCUUUAUGUCAUCACUCCAUGCGCUCCCAAAGCCCGUACCAGAUUGCCACAAAAAUAAGAAGGCAAAAAAAUAGCUUCCACAUGCCAAUUGUUGAAAAACUUUGUUGAAGAUUGUUGUUAACUUUUAGCUCCUGUAAAUAUUUUAAUGCGCUUACUACUCUAUGAGUACACUUGGGUUGGGUGUGAUAAGGACAGAGUUCGUCCAUGCAUCAUUUUGAAAGAUUCGGAGUUAACUUCCAAAUGAUUCAAAGUCACGCGGCAGGUACGUUCAAGUCCGGCCGGCAACUCCCAAUUUCUGUCUAAUGUAGGUACUCCAUUGUAUUUUCAACUCAAUAUGUCGUUUGUGUUGCUUAGGCAAUCUUUGGAAAUAACAAUGAAUCCGUGGAAGAAGCAACACCUUCAAUGUGAUGCCCAGCAGCUUGCAUCCACCCUGAUACAUAUAUGUGUUGCUAUGGUUUUUGUAAUCAAGGUAAAACAAAAUGCCCAUAGAUCCCAUCUAUCCACUACUCUCUCCAUUCCAAUUACAUGCGUGCAAAACCUGAGCGAGUAUCCGCAUCCCCCCGCUAAGAUAGCGGGCGUGUUGGAGCGCGCUUUCUUGAUGUUGCGCCCAAGCUGUCAAGAGGACCUCGCAGUCUAUGGCGAGACCUAGAGCUAUAUCACUGUCGUCAAGAGCCAGCUAAUAGCACUUGUGCCAACAACAUAACAUCUGGCAAUGCAAGCUCUGCCAUGCUAAUGUAAGUUGUCCCAGCCACAGGAGGCACUCGGGCUUAAAAAGGCGCCGGUUUUGCUUGCAGCCGGCCCGUCCCUCAGUGAUCUUACCAAGACUAAAUAGUCUUGUGACAACUAAUCAGGGCAUUCGGGUAAAGAUCAACUCUCCCCUCCGCACAUUAGCUUAGCUGAGAAAUGCAAGUGAUUUGCGUAGAAACAUAGCAGCAUGGAUAUGUUGUUGGGAUGGGGCGGGUCCAGGCAUCCGAGGAAGCAUCCGUUAAGAAAAAACAGUUUGUUUUUCGCCUUGGACCGACCAAGAAAGUGGCGACCAACAUCGAAAUUAGGAUGGUCGUACGACAGCAUUGGCCCUUGCUAGCUAACGAACAAAAUUCUGAGCAGUGUUGCUAGUGGCUACAUGGUAGAUUGGUACUCCCUUUUUUCAUUAUUGUAAGAUAUUCUACUCCCUUCGUCCCAUACUAUAAGGUGUUAUUACAACCCAUAUAUGAGUACAUUGAUGAGAUGAUAGUGAGUUUGAUAGGCCACUAUGAACUUAGUUAGCUUGCUAGUCUUUGUCUCCUAUAGACGUUCUGCAGGCUGUAUUGAGAUCUAUGUGAACUAGAUUCCUUUGCUUAAUUCAUACACAAUUUUUUAUUUUAGAUUCUAGCAAGACCUCUUAUAUAAACCAGAUGAAAGCAAACACACAGAUGAGCAUACCAAAUAAACAAAUUGUAUGUAAGCAUAACUAAAUUGGCGAUAUGUAUAUGUUCAUCGAUGAUCGGUGAUAUUUCAGUAACAUACAUAUCAUAGAAACUUGUGAAACUAUUCACACACACCAUUAUGCUGUGGUGUUCCAGGUGGCCUAAAUUUGUGAAACUAUUCCACACUGUUUUAAUUGAAGACCAAACUCGUAACUCAAAUAUUUGUCUCCGCGAUCAGAUCAUAGAAAUUUUAUUUUCUUGUCACGAUGAUUUUCCACUUCACUCUGAAAUUCUUUGAACUUUUCAAAUGUUUCAGACUUAUGUUUCAUCAAGUAGAUAUACCCAUAUCUGCUCAAAUCAUCUAUGAAGGUGAGAAAAUAACGAUAUCCGCCACGAGCCUCAAUAUUCAUUGGACCACAUACAUCUGUAUGUAUGACUUCCAACAAAUCUGUUGCUCUCUCCAUAGUUUCGGAGAACGGCGUUUUUAGUCAUCUUGCCCAUGAGGCACGGUUCGCAAGCAUCAAGUGAUUCAUAAUCAAGUGAUUCCAAAAUCCCAUCAGUAUGGAGUUUCUUCAUGCGCUUUACACCAAUAUGACCUAAACGGCAGUGCCACAAAUAAGUUGCACUAUCAUUAUUAACUUUGCAUCUUUUGGCUUCAAUAUUAUGAAUAUGUGUAUCACUACGAUCGAGAUUCAAUAAACCAUUGAGUGUAUGACCAUAGAAGGUUUUAUUCAUGUAAACAGAACAACAAUUAUUCUUCGGUUUAAAUGAAUAACCGUAUUGCGAUAAACAUGAUCCAAUCAUAUUCAUGCUCAACGCACACACCAAUAAUCGUAUUGCAAUAAACAUGAUCCAAUCAUAUUUAUGCUCAACGCAAACACCAAAUAACAUUUAUUUAGGUUCAACACUAAUCCCAAAGGUAAGGGGAGUAUGCGAUGGUGAUCUUAUCAACCUUGGAACCACUUCCAAUACACAUCGUCACUUCAUCCUUAACUAGUUUCUGUUCAUUAUGCAACUCCCGUUUCGAGUUACUACUCUUUAGCAACUGAACCAGUAUCAAAUACCGAGGGGUUGCUACGAACACUAGUAAAAUACACAUCAAUAAUCUGUAUAUCAAAUAUACCUUUGUUCACUUUGCCAUCCUUCUUAUCCACCAAAUACUUGGGGUAGUUCCGCUUCCAGUGACCAGUCCUUUUGCAGUAGAAGCACUUAGUCUCAGGCUUAGGUCCAGAUUUGGGCUUCUUCACUUGAGCAGCAACUUGCUUGCCAUUCUUCUUGAAGUUCCCCUUCUAUCCCUUUGCCCUUUUCUUGAAACUAGUGGUCUUGUUAACCAUCAACACUUGAUGUUUUUCUUGAUUUCUACCUUCGUCGAUUUCAGCAUUACGAAGAGCUCGAGAAUUACUUUCGUCAUCCCUUGCAUAUUAUAGUUCAUCACGAAGUUCUACUAACUUGGUGAUGGUGACUAGAGAAUUCUGUCAAUCACUAUUUUAUCUGGAAGAUUAACUCCCACUUGAUUCAAGCGAUUGUAGUACCCAGACAAUCUGAGCACAUGCUCACUAGUUGAGCGAUUCUCCUCCAUCUUUUAGCUAUAGAACUUGUUGGAGACUUCAUAUCUCUCAACUCGGGUAUUUGCUUGAAAUAUUAACUUCAACUCCUGGAACAUCUCAUAUGGUCCAUGACGUUCAAAACGUCUUUGAAGUCCCGAUUCUAAGCCGUUAAGCAUGGUGCACUAAACUAUCAAGUAGUCAUCAUAUUGAGCUAGCCAAACGUUCAUAACGUCUGCAUCUGCUCCUGCAAUAGGUCUGUCACCUAGUGGUGCAUCAAGGACAUAAUUCUUCUGUGCAGCAAUGAGGAUAAUCCUCAGAUCAUGGAUCCAAUCCACAUCAUUGCUACUAAUAUCUUUCAACAUAAUUUUUCUCUAGGAACAUAUCAAAAUAAACAUAGGGAAGUAACAACGCGAGCUAUUGAUCUACAACAUAAUUUGCAAAAUACUAUCAGGACUAAGUUCAUGAUAAAUUUAAGUUCAAUUAAUCAAAUUACUUAAGAACUCCCACUUAGAUAGACAUCCCUCUAAUCCUCUAAGUGAUCACGUGAUCCAUAUCAACUAAACCAUGUCCGAUCAUCACGUGAGAUGGAGUAGUUUCAACGGUGAACAUCACUAUGUUGAUCAUAUCUACUAUAUGAUUCACGCUCGACCUUUCGGUCUCCGUGUUCCGAGGCCAUAUCUGUUAUAUGCUAGGCUCGUCAAGUUUAACCUGAGUAUUCCGCGUGGGCAACUGUUUUGCACCCGUUGUAUUUGAACGUAGAGCCUAUCACACCCGAUCAUCACGUGGUGUCUCAGCACGAAGAACUUUCGCAACGGUGCAUACUCAGGGAGAACACUUAUACUUUGAUAAUUUAGUGAAGGAUCAUCUUAUAAUGCUACCGUCAAACAAAGCAAGAUAAGAUGCAUAAAGGAUUAACAUCACAUGCAAUCAAUAUAAGUGAUAUGAUAUGGCCAUCAUCAUCUUGUGCUUGUGAUCUCCAUCUCCGAAGCACCGUCAUGAUCACCAUCGUCACCGGCGCGACACCUUGAUCUCCAUCGUAGCAUCGUUGUCGUCUCGUCAAUCUUAUGCUUCUACGACUAUCGCUACCGCUUAGUGAUAAAGUAAAGCAUUACAUGGCGAUUGCAUUGCAUACAAUAAAACGACAACCAUAUGGCUCCUGCCAGUUGCCGAUAACUCGGUUACAAAACAUGAUCAUCUCAUACAACAAAUUAUAUCACAUCAUGUCUUGACCAUAUCACAUCACAACAUGCCCUGCAAAAACAAGUUAGACGUCUUCUACUUUGUUGUUGCAAGUUUUACGUGGCUGCUACGGGCUUAGCAAGAACCGUUCUUACCUACACAUCAAAACCACAACGAUAGUUUGUCAAGUUGGUGCUGUUUUAACCUUCGCAAGGACCGGGCGUAGCCACACUCGGUUCAACUAAAGUGAGAGAGACAGACACCCGCCAGUCACCUUUAAGCAACGAGUGCUCGCAACGGUGAAACCAGUCUCGCGUAAGCGUACGCGUAAUGUCGGUCCGGGCCGCUUCAUCUCACAAUACCGCUGAACCAAAGUAUUACAUGCUGGUAAGCAGUAUGACUUAUAUCGUCCACAACUCACUUGUGUUCUACUCGUGCAUAGCAUCAACGCAUAAACCAGGCUCUGAUACCACUGUUGGGGAACGUAGUAAUUUCAAAAAAUUUCCUACGCACACACAAGAUCAUGGAGAUGCAUAGCAACGAGAGGGGAGAGUGUUGUCCACCAACCCUCGUAGACCGACAGCGGAAGCGUUAUCACAACGCGGUUGAUGUAGUCGUAUGUCUUCACGAUCCGACCGAUCAAGUACCGAAUGCACGACACCUCCGAGUUCUACACACGUUCAGCUCGAUGACAUCCCUCGAACUCCGAUCCAGCCGAGUGUUGAGGGAGAGUUUCGUCAGCACGACGGCGUGGUGACGAUGAUGAUGUUCCACCGACGCAGGGCUUCGCCUAAGCUCCGCAACGGUAUUAUCGAGGUGUAAUAUGGUGGAGGGGGGCACCGCACACGGCUAAGAGAUCUCAAGGAUCAAUUGUUGUGUCUCUGGGGUGCCCCCCUGCCCCCGUAUAUAAAGGAGCAAGGGGGAGGCAGCCGGCCAAGGAGAGAGGCGCGCCAUAGGGGGGAGUCCUACUCCCACCGGGAGUAGGACUCCUCCUUUCCUUGUGGGAGUAGGAGAAGGGAAGGGGGAGGAGAAAGAAGGAAGGGUGCGCCCCCCUUCCCUAGUCCAAUUCGGACCAGACCAUGGGGAGGGGUGCGGCCACCUUUUGAGGCCUUUCUCUCCUUUCCCGUAUGGCCCAUUAAGGCCCAAUACGAAUUCCCGUAACUCUCCAGUACUCCGAAAAAUACCCGAAUCACUCGGAACCUUUCCGAAGUCCGAAUAUAGUCGUCCAAUAUAUCGAUUUUUACGUCUCGACCAUUUCGAGACUCCUCGUCAUAUCACCGAUCUCAUCCGGGACUCCGAACUCCUUCGGUACAUCAAAACUCAAUAAAACUGUCAUCGUAACGUUAAGCGUGCGGACCCUACGGGUUCGAGAACUAUGUAGACAUGACCGAGACACGUCUCUGGUCAAUAACCAAUAGAGGGACCUGGAUGCCCAUAUUGGCUCCCACAUAUUCUACGAAGAUCUUUAUCGGUCAGACCGCAUAACAACAUACGUUGUUCCCUUUGUCACCGGUAUGUUACUUGCCCGAGAUUUGAUCGUCGGUAUCUCGAUACCUAGUUCAAUCUCGUUACCAGCAAGUCUCUUUACUCGUUUCGUAACACAUCAUCCCGCAACUAACUCAUUAGUCACAAUGCUUGCAAGGCUUAUAGUGAUGUGCAUUACCGAGUGGGCCCAGAGAUACCUCUCCGACAAUCGGAGUGACAAAUCCUAAUCUCGAAAUACGCCAACCCAACAAGUACCUUUGGAGACACCUGUAGAGCACCUUUAUAAUCACCCAUUUACGUUGUGACGUUUGGUAGCACACAAAGUGUUCCUCCGGUAAACGGGAGUUGCAUAAUCUCAUAGUCAUAGGAACAUGUAUAAGUCAUGAAGAAAGCAAUAACAACAUACUAAACGAUCGAGUGCUAAGCUAACGGAAUGGGUCAAGUCAAUCACGUCAUUCUCCCAAUGAGGUGAUCUCGUUAAUCAAAUGACAACUUAUGUCUAUGGCUAGGAAACAUAACCAUCUUUGAUUAACGAGCUAGUCAAGUAGAGGCAUACUAGUGACACUCUGUUUGUCUAUAUAUUCACACAUGUAUUAUGUUUCCGGUUAAUACAAUUCUAGCAUGAAUAAUAAACAUUUAUCAUGAUACAAGGAAAUAAAUAAUACUUUAUUAUUGCCUCUAGGGCAUAUUUCCUUCAGUCUCCCGCUUGCACUAGAGUCAAUAAUCUAGUUCACAUCGCCAUGUGAUUUAACAUGAAUAGUUCACAUCACCAUGUGAUUAACACCCAUAGUUCACAUCGUCAUGUGACCAUCACCCAAAGGGUUUACUAGAGUUAGUAAUCUAGUUCACAUCGCUAUGUGAUUAACACCCAAAGAGUACUAAGGUGUGAUCAUGUUUUGCUUGUGAGAUAAUCUUAGUCAACGGGUCUGUCACAUUCAGAUCCGUAAGUAUUUUGCAAAUUUCUAUGUCUACAAUGCUCUACAUGGAGCUACUCUAGCUAAUUGCUCCCACUUUCAAUAUGUAUCUAGACCGAGACUUAGAGUCAUCUAGAUUAAUGUCAAAAUUUGCAUCGACGUAACCUUUUACGACGAGCCUUUUGUCACUUCCAUAAUCGAGAAACAUAUCCUUAUUCCAGUAAGGAUAAUUUUGACCGCUGUCCAGUGAUCUACUCCUAGAUCACUAUUGUACUCCCUUGCCAAAAUCAGUGUAGGGUAUACAAUAGAUCUGGUACACAGCAUGGCAUACUUUAUAGAACCUAUGGCCGAGGCAUAGGGAAUGACUUUCAUUCUUUUUCUAUCUUCUGCCGUGGUCGGGUUUUGAGUCUUACUCAAUUUCACACCUUGUAACACAGGUAAGAAACUCUUUCUUUGACUGUUCCAUUUUGAACCACUUCAAAAUCUUGUUAAGGUAUGUACUCAUUGAAAAAACUUAUCAAGCGUCUUGAUCUAUCUCUAUAGAUCUUAAUGCUCAAUAUGUAAGCAGCUUCACCGAGGUCUUUCUUUGAAAAACUCCUUUAUGCUUUGCAGAAUAAUUCUACAUUAUUUCCGAUCAACAAUAUGUCACUUACAUAUACUUAUCAGAAAUGUUGUAGUGCUCCCACUCACUUUCUUGUAAAUACAGGCUUCACUGCAAGUCUGUAUAAAACUAUAUCCUUUGAUCAACUUAUCAAAGCGUAUAUUCCUACUCCGAGAUGCUUGCACCAGUCCAUAGAUGGAUCGCUGGAGCUUGCAUAUUUUGUUAGCACCUUUAGGAUUGACAAAACCUUCUGGUUGCAUCAUAUACAACUCUUCUUUAAUAAAUCCAUUAAGGAAUGCAGUUUUGUUUAUCCAUUUGCCAGAUUUCAUAAAAUGCGACAAUUGCUAACAUGGUUCGGACAGACUUAAGCAUCGCUGCGAGUGAGAAAAUCUCAUCGUAGUCAACACCUUGAACUUUGUCAAAAACCUUUUUCCGACAAGUCUAGCUUUGUAGAUAGUAACACUACUAUCAGCGUCCGUCUUCCUCUUGAAGAUCCAUUUAUUUUCUAUGGCUUGCCGAUCAUCGGGCAAGUCAACCAAAGUCCACACUUUGUUCUCAUACAUGGAUCUCAUCUCAGAUUUCAUGGCCUCAAGCCAUUUUGCGGAAUCUGGGCUCACCAUCGCUUCUUCAUAGUUCGUAGGUUCGUCAUGGUCUAGUAACAUAACCUCCAGAACAGGAUUACCGUACCACUCUGGUGCGGAUCUUACUCUGGUUUACCUACGAGGUUUGGUAGUAACUUGAUCUGAAGAUACAUGAUCAUCAUCAUUAACUUCCUCACUAAUUGGUGUAGGAGUCACUGGAACAGAUUUCUGUGAUGAGCUACUUUCCAAUAAGGGAGCAGGUAUAGUUACCUCAUCAAGUUCUACUUUCCUCCCACUCACUUCUUUCGAGAGAAACUCCUUCUCUAGAAAGAAUCCAUUCUUAGCAAAGAAUGUCUUGCCUUCGGAUCUGUGAUAGAAGGUGUACCCAACUGUCUCCUUUGGGUAUCCUAUGAAGACAAAUUUCUCCGAUUUGGGUCUGAGCUUAUCAGGAUGAAACCUUUUCACAUAAGCAUCGCAACCCCAAACUUUUAAGAAACGAUAACUUUGGUUUCUUGCUAAACCUCAGUUCAUAAGGCGUUGUCUCAACGGAUUUUGAUGGUGCCCUAUUUAACGUGAAUGCAGCUGUCUCUAAUGCAUAACCCCAAAACGAUAGUGGUAAAUUGGUAAGAGACAUCAUAGAUUGCACUAUAUCUAAUAAAGUACGGUUAUGACGUUCGGACACACCAUUAUGCUGUGGUGUUCCAGGUGGCCUAAAUUUGUGAAACUAUUCCACAUUGUUUUAAUUGAAGACCAAACUCGUAACUCAAAUAUUUGUCUCCGCGAUCAGAUCAUAGAAACUUUAUUUUCUUGUCACGAUGAUUUUCCACUUCACUCUGAAAUUCUUUGAACUUUUCAAAUGUUUCAAACUUAUGUUUCAUCAAGUAGAUAUACCCAUAUCUGCUCAAAUCAUCUAUGAAGGUGAGAAAAUAACGAUAUCCACCACGAGCCUCAAUAUUCAUUGGACCACAUACAUCUGUAUGUAUGACUUCCAACAAAUCUGUUGCUCUCUCCAUAGUUCCGGAGAACGGCGUUUUUAGUCAUCUUGCCCAUGAGGCACGGUUCGCAAGCAUAAAGUGAUUCAUAAUCAAGUGAUUCCAAAAUCCCAUCAGUAUGGAGUUUCUUCAUGCGCUUUACACCAAUAUGACCUAAACGGCAGUGCCACAAAUAAGUUGCACUAUCAUUAUUAACUUUGCAUCUUUUGGCUUCAAUAUUAUGAAUAUGUGUAUCACUACGAUCGAGAUUCAAUAAACCAUUGAGUGUAUGACCAUAGAAGGUUUUAUUCAUGUAAACAGAACAACAAUUAUUCUUCGGUUUAAAUGAAUAACCGUAUUGCGAUAAACAUGAUCCAAUCAUAUUCAUGCUCAACGCACACACCAAUAAUCGUAUUGCAAUAAACAUGAUCCAAUCAUAUUUAUGCUCAACGCAAACACCAUAUAACAUUUAUUUAGGUUCAACACUAAUCCCGAAGGUAAGGGGAGUAUGCGAUGGUGAUCUUAUCAACCUUGGAACCACUUCCAAUACACAUCGUCACUUCAUCCUUAACUAGUUUCUGUUCAUUAUGCAACUCCCGUUUCGAGUUACUACUCUUUAGCAACUGAACCAGUAUCAAAUACCGAGGGGUUGCUACGAACACUAGUAAAAUACACAUCAAUAAUCUGUAUAUCAAAUAUACCUUUGUUCACUUUGCCAUCCUUCUUAUCCACCAAAUACUUGGGGUAGUUCCGCUUCCAGUGACCAGUCCUUUUGCAGUAGAAGCACUUAGUCUCAGGCUUAGGUCCAGAUUUGGGCUUCUUCACUUGAGCAGCAACUUGCUUGCCAUUCUUCUUGAAGUUCCCCUUCUAUCCCUUUGCCCUUUUCUUGAAACUAGUGGUCUUGUUAACCAUCAACACUUGAUGUUUUUCUUGAUUUCUACCUUCGUCGAUUUCAGCAUCACGAAGAGCUCGGGAAUUACUUUCGUCAUCCCUUACAUAUUAUAGUUCAUCACGAAGUUCUACUAACUUGGUGAUGGUGACUAGAGAAUUCUGUCAAUCACUAUUUUAUCUGGAAGAUUAACUCCCACUUGAUUCAAGCGAUUGUAGUACCCAGACAAUCUGAGCACAUGCUCACUAGUUGAGCGAUUCUCCUCCAUCUUUUAGCUAUAGAACUUGUUGGAGACUUCAUAUCUCUCAACUCGGGUAUUUGCUUGAAAUAUUAACUUCAACUCCUGGAACAUCUCAUAUGGUCCAUGACGUUCAAAACGUCUUUGAAGUCCCGAUUCUAAGCCGUUAAGCAUGGUGCACUAAACUAUCAAGUAGUCAUCAUAUUGAGCUAGCCAAACGUUCAUAACGUCUGCAUCUGCUCCUGCAAUAGGUCUGUCACCUAGUGGUGCAUCAAGGACAUAAUUCUUCUGUGCAGCAAUGAGGAUAAUCCUCAGAUCAUGGAUCCAAUCCACAUCAUUGCUACUAAUAUCUUUCAACAUAAUUUUUCUCUAGGAACAUAUCAAAAUAAACAUAGGGAAGUAACAACGCGAGCUAUUGAUCUACAACAUAAUUUGCAAAAUACUAUCAGGACUAAGUUCAUGAUAAAUUUAAGUUCAAUUAAUCAAAUUACUUAAGAACUCCCACUUAGAUAGACAUCCCUCUAAUCCUCUAAGUGAUCACGUGAUCCAUAUCAACUAAACCAUGUCCGAUCAUCACGUGAGAUGGAGUAGUUUCAACGGUGAACAUCACUAUGUUGAUCAUAUCUACUAUAUGAUUCACGCUCGACCUUUCGGUCUCCGUGUUCCGAGGCCAUAUCUGUUAUAUGCUAGGCUCGUCAAGUUUAACCUGAGUAUUCCGCGUGGGCAACUGUUUUGCACCCGUUGUAUUUGAACGUAGAGCCUAUCACACCCGAUCAUCACGUGGUGUCUCAGCACGAAGAACUUUCGCAACGGUGCAUACUCAGGGAGAACACUUAUACUUUGAUAAUUUAGUGAAGGAUCAUCUUAUAAUGCUACCGUCAAACAAAGCAAGAUAAGAUGCAUAAAGGAUUAACAUCACAUGCAAUCAAUAUAAGUGAUAUGAUAUGGCCAUCAUCAUCUUGUGCUUGUGAUCUCCAUCUCCGAAGCACCGUCAUGAUCACCAUCGUCACCGGCGCGACACCUUGAUCUCCAUCGUAGCAUCGUUGUCGUCUCGUCAAUCUUAUGCUUCUACGACUAUCGCUACCGCUUAGUGAUAAAGUAAAGCAUUACAUGGCGAUUGCAUUGCAUACAAUAAAACGACAACCAUAUGGCUCCUGCCAGUUGCCGAUAACUCGGUUACAAAACAUGAUCAUCUCAUACAACAAAUUAUAUCACAUCAUGUCUUGACCAUAUCACAUCACAACAUGCCCUGCAAAAACAAGUUAGACGUCUUCUACUUUGUUGUUGCAAGUUUUACGUGGCUGCUACGGGCUUAGCAAGAACCGUUCUUACCUACACAUCAAAACCACAACGAUAGUUUGUCAAGUUGGUGCUGUUUUAACCUUCGCAAGGACCGGGCGUAGCCACACUCGGUUCAACUAAAGUGAGAGAGACAGACACCCGCUAGUCACCUUUAAGCAACGAGUGCUCGCAACGGUGAAACCAGUCUCGCGUAAGCGUACGCGUAAUGUCGGUCCGGGCCGCUUCAUCUCACAAUACCGCUGAACCAAAGUAUGACAUGCUGGUAAGCAGUAUGACUUAUAUCGUCCACAACUCACUUGUGUUCUACUCGUGCAUAGCAUCAACGCAUGAAACCAGGCUCUGAUACCACUGUUGGGGAACGUAGUAAUUUCAAAAAAUUUCCUACGCACACACAAGAUCAUGGUGAUGCAUAGCAACGAGAGGGGAGAGUGUUGUCCACGUACCCUCGUAGACCGACAGCGGAAGCGUUAUCACAACGCGGUUGAUGUAGUCGUACGUCUUCACGAUCCGACCGAUCAAGUACCGAACGCACGGCACCUCUGAGUUCUACACACGUUCAGCUCGAUGACGUCCCUCGAACUCCGAUCCAUCCGAGUGUCGAGGGAGAGUUUCGUCAGCACGACGGCGUGGUGACGAUGAUGAUGUUCCACCGACGCAGGGCUUCGCCUAAGCUCCGCAAUGGUAUUAUCGAGGUGUAAUACGGUGGAGGGGGGCACCGCACCCGGCUAAGAGAUCUCAAGGAUCAAUUGUUGUGUCUCUGGGGUGCCCCCCUGCCCCCGUAUAUAAAGGAGCAAGGGGGAGGCAGCCGGCCAAGGGGAGAGGCGCGCCAUAGGGGGGAGUCCUACUCCCACUGGGAGUAGGACUCCUCCUUUCCUUGUGGGAGUAGGAGAAGGGAAGGGGGAAGGAGAAAGAAGGAAGGGUGCGCCCCCCUUCCCUAGUCCAAUUCGGACCAGACCAUGGGGAGGGGUGCGGCCACAUUUUGAGGCCUUUCUCUCCUUUCCCGUAUGGCCCAUUAAGGCCCAAUACGAAUUCCCGUAACUCUCCGGUACCCCGAAAAAUACCCGAAUCACUCGGAACCUUUCCGAAGUCCGAAUAUAGUCGUCCAAUACAUCGAUUUUUACGUCUCGACCAUUUCGAGACUCCUCGUCAUAUCACCGAUCUCAUCCGGGACUCCGAACUCCUUCAAUACAUCAAAACUCAAUAAAACUGUCAUCGUAACGUUAAGCGUGCGGACCCUACGGGUUCGAGAACUAUGUAGACAUGACCGAGACACGUCUCCGGUCAAUAACCAAUAGCGGGACCUGGAUGCCCAUAUUGGCUCCCACAUAUUCUACGAAGAUCUUUAUCGGUCAGACCGCAUAACAACGUACGUUGUUCCCUUUGUCACCGGUAUGUUACUUGCCCGAGAUUUGAUCGUCGGUAUCUCGAUACCUAGUUCAAUCUCGUUACCGGCAAGUCUCUUUACUCGUUUCGUAACACAUCAUCCCGCAACUAACUCAUUAGUCACAAUGCUUGCAAGGCUUAUAGUGAUGUGCAUUACCGAGUGGGCCCAGAGAUACCUCUCCGACAAUCGGAGUGACAAAUCCUAAUCUCAAAAUACGCCAACCCAACAAGUACCUUUGGAGACAACUGUAGAGCACCUUUAUAAUCACCCAUUUACGUUGUGACGUUUGGUAGCACACAAAGUGUUCCUCCGGUAAACGGGAGUUGCAUAAUCUCAUAGUCAUAGGAACAUGUAUAAGUCAUGAAGAAAGCAAUAGCAACAUACUAAACGAUCGAGUGCUAAGCUAACGAAAUGGGUCAAUUCAAUCACGUCAUUCUCCCAAUGAGGUGAUCUCGUUAAUCAAAUGACAACUUAUGUCUAUGGCUAGGAAACAUAACCAUCUUUGAUUAACGAGCUAGUCAAGUAGAGGCAUACUAGUGACACUCUGUUUGUCUAUAUAUUCACACAUGUAUUAUGUUUCCGGUUAAUACAAUUCUAGCAUGAAUAAUAAACAUUUAUCAUGAUACAAGGAAAUAAAUAAUACUUUAUUAUUGCCUCUAGGGCAUAUUUCCUUCAGUCUCCCACUUGCACUAGAGUCAAUAAUCUAGUUCACAUCGCCAUGUGAUUUAACAUGAAUAGUUCACAUCACCAUGUGAUUAACACCCAUAGUUCACAUCGUCAUGUGACCAUCACCCAAAGGGUUUACUAGAGUCAGUAAUCUAGUUCACAUCGCUAUGUGAUUAACACCCAAAGAGUACUAAGGUGUGAUCAUGUUUUGCUUGUGAGAUAAUCUUAGUCAACGGGUCUGUCACAUUCAGAUCCGUAAGUAUUUUGCAAAUUUCUAUGUCUACAAUGCUCUGCAUGGAGCUACUCUAGCUAAUUGCUCCCACUUUCAAUAUGUAUCUAGACCGAGACUUAGAGUCAUCUAGAUUAGUGUCAAAACUUGCAUCGACGUAACAUUUUACGACGAGCCUUUUGUCACUUCCAUAAUCGAGAAACAUAUCCUUAUUCCAGUAAGGAUAAUUUUGACCGUUGUCCAGUGAUCUACUCCUAGAUCACUAUUGUACUCCCUUGCCAAAAUCAGUGUAGGGUAUACAAUAGAUCUGGUACACAACAUGGCAUACUUUAUAGAACCUAUGGCCGAGGCAUAGGUAAUGACUUUCAUUCUUUUUCUAUCUUCUGCCGUGGUCGGGUUUUGAGUCUUACUCAAUUUCACACCUUGUAACACAGGUAAGAAACUCUUUCUUUGACUGUUCCAUUUUGAACCACUUCAAAAUCUUGUUAAGGUAUGUACUCAUUGAAAAAACUUAUCAAGCGUCUUCAUCUAUCUCUAUAGAUCUUGAUGCUCAAUAUGUAAGCAGCUUCACCGAGGUCUUUCUUUGAAAAACUCCUUUAUGCUUUGCAGAAUAAUUCUACAUUAUUUACGAUCAACAAUAUGUCACUUACAUAUACUUAUCAGAAAUGUUGUAGUGCUCCCACUCACUUUCUUGUAAAUACAGGCUUCACCGCAAGUCUGUAUAAAACUAUAUCCUUUGAUCAACUUAUCAAAGCGUAUAUUCCUACUCCGAGAUGCUUGCACCAGUCCAUAGAUGGAUCGCUGGAGCUUGCAUAUUUUGUUAGCACCUUUAGGAUUGACAAAACCUUCUGGUUGCAUCAUAUACAACUCUUCUUUAAUAAAUCCGUUAAGGAAUGCAGUUUUGUUUAUCCAUUUGCCAGAUUUCAUAAAAUGCGACAAUUGCUAACAUGGUUCGGACAGACUUAAGCAUCGCUGCGAGUGAGAAAAUCUCAUCGUAGUCAACACCUUGAACUUUGUCAAAAACCUUUUUCCGACAAGUCUAGGUUUGUAGAUAGUAACACUACUAUCAGUGUCCGUCUUCCUCUUGAAGAUCCAUUUAUUUUCUAUGGCUUGCCGAUCAUCGGGCAAGUCAACCAAAGUCCACACUUUGUUCUCAUACAUGGAUCUCAUCUCAGAUUUCAUGGCCUCAAGCCAUUUUGCGGAAUCUGGGCUCACCAUCGCUUCUUCAUAGUUCGUAGGUUCGUCAUGGUCUAGUAACAUAACCUCCAGAACAGGAUUACCGUACCACUUUGGUGCGGAUCUUACUCUGGUUUACCUACGAGGUUUGGUAGUAACUUGAUCUGAAGUUACAUGAUCAUCAUCAUUAACUUCCUCAUUAAUUGGUGUAGGAGUCACAGGAACAGAUUUCUGUGAUGAGCUACUUUCCAAUAAGGGAGCAGGUACAGUUACCUCAUCAAGUUCUACUUUCCUCCCACUCACUUCUUUCGAGAGAAACUCCUUCUCUAGAAAGGAUCCAUUCUUAGCAACAAAUGUCUUGCCUUCGGAUCUGUGAUAGAAGGUGUACCCACCUGUCUCCUUUGGGUAUCCUAUGAAGACACAUUUCUCCGAUUUGGGUCUGAGCUUAUCAGGAUGAAACCUUUUCACAUAAGCAUCGCAACCCCAAACUUUUAAGAAACGAUAACUUUGGUUUCUUGCUAAACCUCAGUUCAUAAGGCGUUGUCUCAACGGAUUUUGAUGGUGCCCUAUUUAACAUGAAUGCAGCUGUCUAUAAUGCAUAACCCCAAAACGAUAGUGGUAAAUUGGUAAGAGACAUCAUAGAUUGCACUAUAUCUAAUAAAGUACGGUUAUGAUGUUCGGACACACCAUUAUACUAUGGUGUUCCAGGUGGCCUAAAUUUGUGAAACUAUUCCACAUUGUUUUAAUUUAAGACCAAACUCGUAACUCAAAUAUUUGUCUCCGCGAUUAGAUCAUAGAAACUUUAUUUUCUUGUCACGAUGAUUUUCCACUUCACUCUGAAAUUCUUUGAACUUUUCAAAUGUUUCAGACUUAUGUUUCAUCAAGUAGAUAUACCCAUAUCUGCUCAAAUCAUCUAUGAAGGUGAGAAAAUAACGAUAUCCGCCACGAGCCUCAAUAUUCAUUGGACCACAUACAUCUGUAUGUAUGACUUCCAACAAAUCUGUUGCUCUCUCCAUAGUUCCGGAGAACGGCGUUUUUAGUCAUCUUGCCCAUGAGGCACGGUUCGCAAGCAUAAAGUGAUUCAUAAUCAAGUGAUUCCAAAAUCCCAUCAGUAUGGAGUUUCUUCAUGCGCUUUACACCAAUAUGACCUAAACGGCAGUGCCACAAAUAAGUUGCACUAUCAUUAUUAACUUUGCAUCUUUUGGCUUCAAUAUUAUGAAUAUGUGUAUCACUACGAUCGAGAUUCAAUAAACCAUUGAGUGUAUGACCAUAGAAGGUUUUAUUCAUGUAAACAGAACAACAAUUAUUCUUCGGUUUAAAUGAAUAACCGUAUUGCAAUAAACAUGAUCCAAUCAUAUUCAUGCUCAACGCACACACCAAUAAUCGUAUUGCAAUAAACAUGAUCCAAUCAUAUUUAUGCUCAACGCAAACACCAUAUAACAUUUAUUUAGGUUCAACACUAAUCCCGAAGGUAAGGGGAGUAUGCGAUGGUGAUCUUAUCAACCUUGGAACCACUUCCAAUACACAUCGUCACUUCAUCCUUAACUAGUUUCUGUUCAUUAUGCAACUCCUGUUUCGAGUUACUACUCUUUAGCAACUGAACCAGUAUCAAAUACCGAGGGGUUGCUACGAACACUAGUAAAAUACACAUCAAUAAUCUAUAUAUCAAAUAUACCUUUGUUCACUUUGCCAUCCUUCUUAUCCACCAAAUACUUGGGGUAGUUCCGCUUCCAGUGACCAGUCCUUUUGCAGUAGAAGCACUUAGUCUCAGGCUUAGGUCCAGAUUUGGGCUUCUUCACUUGAGCAGCAACUUGCUUGCCGUUAUUCUUGAAGUUCCCCUUCUAUCCCUUUGCCCUUUUCUUGAAACUAGUGGUCUUGUUAACCAUCAACACUUGAUGUUUUUCUUGAUUUCUACCUUCGUCGAUUUCAGCAUCACGAAGAGCUCGGGAAUUACUUUCGUCAUCCCUUACAUAUUAUAGUUCAUCACGAAGUUCUACUAACUUGGUGAUGGUGACUAGAGAAUUCUGUCAAUCACUAUUUUAUCUGGAAGAUUAACUCCCACUUGAUUCAAGCGAUUGUAGUACCCAGACAAUCUGAGCACAUGCUCACUAGUUGAGCGAUUCUCCUCCAUCUUUUAGCUAUAGAACUUGUUGGAGACUUCAUAUCUCUCAACUCGGGUAUUUGCUUGAAAUAUUAACUUCAACUCCUGGAACAUCUCAUAUGGUCCAUGACGUUCAAAACGUCUUUGAAGUCCCGAUUCUAAGCCGUUAAGCAUGGUGCACUAAACUAUCAAGUAGUCAUCAUAUUGAGCUAGCCAAACGUUCAUAACGUCUGCAUCUGCUCCUGCAAUAGGUCUGUCACCUAGUGGUGCAUCAAGGACAUAAUUCUUCUGUGCAGCAAUGAGGAUAAUCCUCAGAUCAUGGAUCCAAUCCACAUCAUUGCUACUAAUAUCUUUCAACAUAAUUUUUCAUGAGGGUUGAGUAUAAGACUCCACCUUCGUGCAUAGCUCUUGCCUUGGCUUCUAACUUUGUCGGUGCUAAAACUGGCAGAUCUCGGGUAGGGUGUCCCGAGUUGUAGGUCAAAGAACAACGGUAACAGGGAACAAAGGGAGACGAUGCUUACCCAGGCUCGGGCCCUCUUGAAGAGGUAAAACCCUAUGUUCCGCUUUGAUCGUAUUGAUGUGACGGAGUAUAGAGUACAAGAUGAUCUACCUCGAGAUCGUAUAACUAUGUUCUAAACCCUAAGCUGGUAACCGUUGCCUCUAAAGACUAAACCCCUUAGCUUAUAUAUGCACCGAGGGUACCUAGGUUACACACAUGGUCAAUUAUCUUCGCAUCGGCUACAUAGAAAUCCUUGAAGUACACGCCAAGUCUUUAGAGGUUUCCAUCUUGAUCAUGCAGAGGUUCAUAGCUUUGAUGGUCCUUCCUUUAGUGAUCGGCGGGCCAUAAGCCUGGCCUGUGGACUGCAGGCCAUAUAGGUUAAUACCCCCUAGUCCAGGACACCGUCAGUAGCUUCUGAACUCUUCGUCGAAGCCGAAGACUGCAACUCCCUCCUCGGACCAACUUCUUUGGUUUGAUAUCUUCAGCUUGACAGCCAAGUUCCUCGUUCAUCAGUUUGUGUUUGAAUCCGAAUUCGAAGCCUUCGAAGCCUUAUAUCAUCCCUCCGUGCGCUAUAAAAGCCCGUCCUAGAAAUGUAAAAAAAAGCCUGUACUAUUGCCUCAGAAAGGAAAAAAAAGAGGAGGUUACUAAAAAAGGGAAAAAAGGAGGUAAAAAAACUUUCAUCACCCAUGCAUCAAAUCUGAAAGAUUCGGGUUCAGAGCCGAAAAGCUUAUGAGUUGGAUGGCAAAACACGUCUGGACCACGCGGUCCGGAAAAAAGCUGACGGUUUGAGGGUCUGCUUUGGUGAUCCUCUUAAGUUCCUUGUGACGGAACCAACCCAUCGGGGUUCAAGUGCUACACUUGACACUGGUGGUCACUGACGCCACAAUCGCCACAAACGUCACUGACGAAAAGAGACAUGCCUUGAGAUUGAACUUAACUAGUCUGCGGCGAUGAGUUGGUUCAAUCACAAGGAACUUAACCAUACGAGUAUAUUGGAUUGACUCAAGAUCAACUGGAAAAAAACUGAGAUGAGUACGAGUUGAUAUUGAGGCAACCCUGGCUCACUUGAUUUUGACUCGAUAACUUGAUAUCAUAUAGAUAAUCUAGAUAUAUAUUAAAAGAAAAUAGGAUACUUUAUUGCCAUAUUUGUUGUGUACAAUUUUUCUUCAUUUUACCUACUAGCAAACAUGUAAGCUUAAUUAAUCAGAGAGAUAAUUAAGCCUCAAUACUGUACAUGGUGACCCCUGUGUUAAAUAUCCUAUUAUUGUUGGCAAAGUUUGAGCGCAUACGCACCUUAAUUUUCUUCUCUUUGUAGUUCAUCCAGAAUCUCUUGCUAUUAAGUGUUAUUCUCAGUUGAAAAGAAUACCUUGAAUUUUAUAGUGACUUUUUAUGUUGUGUAGUGGCUUAUCUUGAUUGAAAAAUUGCCUUACAUUAUUAAGAUCAAAACUAUCUUGAGAUCUAUACAAACUGAGCAUGAACCACUUUCUACAACUCGACCUUGAGUUUUACUCAGUUUGAGCUUGCUCAUUUUUUUUAAUAUAAGUUGAGGUGAGCCUAGUGCAACUCGCUCGAACUCGAUUUGUUUGCAACCCUACUGAUAAGGAUUUCUUUGCUUCACAUAGAAAAAUAAUAUCCACACAAACUCAAGAAUUAUUAUUUUUUCUUUGAUGCACUGAAACUAAAGCUUUUGUAAACAAAACUUGGUAGGAUUCGAGUGGUCAUGCCAUUACAAUCCUACAUCUUCUAAAAUCAUGUGAAUACAAAAAGUCUUUAUAAUCUCUAGCAACAUAUUGAAACCUUUUCGGUCUUAGCAAUAACAUAGUGAAAACAUUGUUACCAUUACCAAGGAGCUCGCGCAUGCUCUCUGGCAUGUCACCUCUGUUACCUACAACACCCCCACCCCCAUCAAAUACUCUGAGGCUUUGUUUGGUGUCGAGGGGAAGAAAGACCAGUGCGUUCAGUCCCGAUAGGGGAAUUUCAAGAGCACAACAUGUCCCUUUCCUUUCACGAGGAGAGAUCUCCUCCUUGGGGAUGGCCAUUUUUGGUAGUAAAGGGGAGGGGGGGAGGAGAAGAACGGAAGGCAACAUGCUAAGGGAGGCAGAGCUUCGCGAGGAGGCGACGGAGCGUGGUCGCGCGAGAGGAACGAGGCGGGGGGAAUUUCCGCGUGUGCGGAGGCGCGGGUCCGCUGGCCGGGGAAAGCGAGGGUUUUGGGCUGGCGUGCCCCGCAGAUUGAGUCGUCCAAAUGUCGGGCUUGAUUUUCCUGGUGAGAGUUUGCACGUGUCGGGCCCUGGAAAAAGGAAGGGAGCCCGGACGUGGUCUUUUGGGUCUUCUUCGCUUCUAUCAACAUUGAGUGUCGACUAUGGCAUGGCUUUGCCACACCUCACAAUACCUUGGACUAGGUGCGUGAAGAGAAAAGUAGACAUAAGGGGCAGUGACAAAGAAAGAAAGACUAGUAUUUGUGAUGGCAAACAUAACAUUUUCGAUUUUUAUAACGAUAUGCUAGAAAAAUGUUACAGUUGAUGAGUUCGAGUCCAAUGUACUUUUUUUUUU
rnacentral:lncRNA from 1 species